UUGAGUUAAAAGAAGACUUCACAUUUUGGUAAUACUAUUAAGUUUAUUUCAAUUUUUUCCCAAAGGCAUAGUUGUAUCAAAACGAAUACAAAAGUCCAAAUUUGUAUACUUUUCAUGGCAAACAAGAUCUGAGUUAAUAAAAGUAUAGAUCUCUGAACUCCCCCAAAAACUAAAUUUACAUUAUUUUAGAUAUAAACUUGGUAAAGUGACUAAAAUAGAGGAUACGUACAUUUUUGAUUGCCACAAUUUCAAUCAAUCAACAUAUACUAUACAAAUGGUCAUCCCAAUUUUAUUCCUUAAUAAAUUGCAUACUUUUUUUCAACGAAUCUUUAAACAGAAGGCAGAACAGAACAGUUAGUGAUGUUAGACGGAGGAACUUAGAGUUCAUUACAGACAGGCGAGGAUGGAGGCUUUGACUGCAGCACAUCCGGAUUAUAAAGAGGACAUUUCUUCAGGAUUAUCUACUUUGAAGUACCCUAAGCCGUUUACGGAACCACCAUCGUUGAGUAGCAGUAAAUUUACCACUCCAUUCUAUUCUUUGCACGGGUCCGACGAUGAGGGCCUGAUUCCGUUGUUUUCGAAGGAGAGUUGGAGGAAUUGAGGGGACAAUAAAACAACAGCGAAACCAUGAGGAUGCCAAUCUCUUAAAUUAGUGUUUAUACUAGAGCUAC